rnacentral:rRNA from 1 species
GACGGAAGGUGCAAGCGUUGCUCGGAAUCACUGGGCGUAAAGGGCGCGUAGGCGGCCUUCUAAGUCGAACGUGAAAUCCCCGGGCUCAACCCGGGAACUGCGUCCGAGACUGAAAGGCUUGAAUCCGGGAGAGGGAUGUGGAAUUCCAGGUGUAGCGGUGAAAUGCGUAGAUAUCUGGAGGAACACCGGUGGCGAAGGCGGGUCUCUGGGCCGAUACUGACGCUGAGGAGCGAAAGCGUGGGGAGCGAACAGG